GCGGCUAUAGCUCAAUGGUAGAGUGCUUGCCUUGCAUGCAUGUGGCACUGGGUUCGAUCCUCAGUACACAUA
rnacentral:tRNA from 1 species